AGAGUUUGAUCCUGGCUCAGAAUCAACGCUGGCGGCGUGCCUAACACAUGCAAGUCGAACGAGAAAGUGGAGCAAUCCAUGAGUAAAGUGGCGCACGGGUGAGUAACACGUGACUAACCUACCCUUGAGUGGGGGAUAACCUAGGGAAACCUGGGCUAAUACCGCAUAAUACCUUCGGGUCAAAGGAGCAAUUCGCUUAAGGAGGGGGUCGCGGCCGAUUAGUUAGUUGGCGGGGUAAUGGCCCACCAAGACUGUGAUCGGUAUCCGGCCUGAGAGGGCGCACGGACACACUGGAACUGAAACACGGUCCAGACUCCUACGGGAGGCAGCAGUGGGGAAUUUUGCGCAAUGGGGGAAACCCUGACGCAGCAACGCCGCGUGGAGGAUGAAGCCCCUUGGGGCGUAAACUCCUUUCGAUCGGGACGAUUAUGACGGUACCGGAAGAAGAAGCCCCGGCUAACUUCGUGCCAGCAGCCGCGGUAAUACGAGGGGGGCGAGCGUUGUUCGGAAUUAUUGGGCGUAAAGGGUGCGUAGGCGGUUCAGUAAGUCUUGUGUGAAAUCUUCGGGCUCAACUCGUAGUCUGCAUGAGAAACUGCUGGGCUUGAGUAUGGGAGAGGUGAGUGGAAUUCCCGGUGUAGCGGUGAAAUGCGUAGAUAUCGGGAGGAACACCUGUGGCGAAAGCGGCUCACUGGACCAUAACUGACGCUGAGGCACGAAAGCUAGGGGAGCAAACAGGAUUAGAUACCCUGGUAGUCCUAGCCCUAAACGAUGAUCGCUUGGUGUGACGGGUACCCAUCCCGCCGUGCCGAAGCUAACGCGUUAAGCGAUCCGCCUGGGGAGUACGUCGCAAGCUGAACUCAAAGGAUGACGGGGCCCGCACAGCGUGAGCAUGUGUUUAUCGACGCACGCGAGACCUACUGGCUCGAA
rnacentral:rRNA from 1 species